UCGUGUGUACUUAGUAAUUUAGGUUGGCUGAACAUACUCCACCGAGAGGAAAUUUCAGCCCCGCUUGCGCAACCGCAUCGCCUGUAAUCACGCAAGGCCUGAAAAAAGGAUCUGAUCUGAAUUACCCUCCGAUAGUCACGCAACGCAUCCCUGUAAUCAUGCACCCUCAAGCUUGACGCUAACACACCAUCCCUACGCUCCCUGCCUGCCGGCGCCGCGCCGCCCAUGGAGCAGGAGCCGCCGCGACCCCCCGGCCUCGUGCCCUGCAGCCCGCAACAUACCUCGCCGCCGCGCCGCCGAGUGAGCAGGAGUGGCCGCGACCCCGGCCUCGUGAUGUGAAGCCCGCAGCAUGCCGCGCAACGCGCCGCCGCGCUGUCGACUGAGCAGGAGCCCCCGCGCACGUACACAAUAAGCAGACACCCAUGCAGCUGGAUGGAUUUUUCCUUGAGGAGCACACGCACCUAUGAAAACUGCAAGCCGCCGGCUUGCUUGAUCGGUGGCACGACUCAACGGAACACGCAGGCAAACACAACCGUUUUCAUGACCGAGCGUGUCUGUGGAAGCCGGCUCUCCUACCCAGGCCAUUCUCUGCAAGACCGGCGAAGACAGCUUCAGCCUCCCCUCCUCCCCGCCAAGGACGGAAUCACGGAAAGAUCUGCUUCAUCCAAACCGUGUCCGCGAGGACGACGGGCAGGUAGAUCCGUACAUAUACCAAGGUCGAUGUUGGCCGAUGCUUGCGGUUGCAAUUUCAUAUCCUGGCCGGUGAUGUAUUGAUGCUCAUUGUGAGCCAUGGAAUAAUAACCGGGAACUUUUCACCUCUCAGUCAUACUAGAUGAAUCCUUGUUAGAGAGAGACAGAGGGAGGGAGGGAGACCGGACAUGGAAAUAUGAAGGCAACUCAGUAUUGAAGAUAAUCAUAUUGCCCCAUGACAUGGUGCCUCUGCCACCGGCCUCGACGCAGAGUCCCCGCUGCCCCGCGCCUGGUGGCACGAUGUCUCCCUCUUGGCCGCCCGUCUGUUUCGGCCGCCCAGACGUACUCCCAUGAGGCCGCCCUCGUGUGCGGUGUCUGUCCCGCUCUCACUAUGGUGCCAUUGCUCUCCAUUGUAUUUUUUUUUAUUUUCCUAGCGCCAAGUAUUUUUAUUAAUUUUUGCCAUAGUACCAAUGUAUAGGUGUCAACAGGUUUUCCUAUGUUGAUCCCAGUUAGUACAAAAUGUUAGUUCAUGGCAUACAAAUCCGUUUAGCCUCUCUUUUGCAUGUGCUGACCAAUUUUAUAUAUUGUUGUGCAGAUGUAAAAUUGGCUUUUGUACGAGAAAAUAAGAUUCAAGAAGUAGGCAUCCUUAUCAGAGCAAUUGCAUUGUAAAGUAGUUUGCAUUUUGUUUUCGGUGGCUACACUAGAAGUGAAGACUACAUGCGUAUCAGUCAAUUUUAUUUUCUAUUGCUAAAUCUAUACUUCCCAAUCAAAAUACCAUGUCCACUUUAGAAAAUACCAUACUUGU